rnacentral:rRNA from 1 species
UACGAAGGGGGCUAGCGUUGCUCGGAAUCACUGGGCGUAAAGGGUGCGUAGGCGGGUCUUUAAGUCAGGGGUGAAAUCCUGGAGCUCAACUCCAGAACUGCCUUUGAUACUGGGGAUCUUGAGUCCGGAAGAGGUAAGUGGAACUGCGAGUGUAGAGGUGAAAUUCGUAGAUAUUCGCAAGAACACCAGUGGCGAAGGCGGCUUACUGGUCCGGUACUGACGCUGAGGGUGCGAAAAGCGUGGGGAGCAAACAGG